rnacentral:sRNA from 1 species
GGAAGGCAGGCAUGUGGAAGCCAGGUGCUGAGUCCCGGCCUCUCCACACAGGUGCUGCCCAGGUGAUGUGGUUUGAGAAGCUGUAUGCUGGCCUGCAGUGCGUAGAGAAGUACCUCAUCUACCCCGCCGUGGUGCUCAACGCCCUCACGGUGGACGCCCACACAGUCGUCAGCCACCCGGACAAGUACUGCCUCUACUGCCGAGCGCUGCUGAUGACCGUGGCUGGGCUGAAGCUGCUGCGCUCAGCCUUCUGCUGCCCCCCGCAGCAGUACCUGACGUUGGCCUUCACCGUCCUGCUCUUCCACUUUGACUACCCGCGCCUCUCCCAGGGCUUUCUGCUUGACUACUUCCUCAUGUCCCUGCUUUGCAGCAAGCUGUGGGACCUGCUGUACAAGCUGCGUUUCGUGCUGACCUACAUCGCGCCCUGGCAGAUCACCUGGGGCUCGGCUUUCCACGCUUUUGCCCAGCCCUUUGCCGUGCCACACUCGGCCAUGCUGUUCGUCCAGGCCCUGCUCUCGGGGCUCUUCUCCACGCCUCUCAACCCGCUGCUAGGCAGCGCCGUCUUCAUCAUGUCCUACGCUCGGCCCCUCAAGUUCUGGGAGCGCGACUACAACACUAAACGUGUGGAUCAUUCCAACACCCGCCUGGUCACACAGCUGGACCGGAACCCUGGCGCUGAUGACAACAACCUCAACUCCAUCUUCUAUGAGCACUUGACCCGUUCGCUGCAGCACACGCUGUGUGGGGACCUGGUGCUGGGCCGCUGGGGCAACUAUGGCCCUGGUGACUGCUUCGUCCUGGCCUCCGACUACCUCAACGCCCUGGUGCACCUCAUCGAGGUUGGCAAUGGGCUCGUCACCUUCCAGCUGCGUGGCCUUGAGUUCCGGGGCACUUACUGCCAGCAGCGCGAGGUGGAGGCCAUCACCGAGGGUGUGGAGGAGGACGAGGGCUGUUGCUGCUGUGAACCUGGCCACCUGCCACGGGUCCUGUCCUUCAAUGCCGCCUUUGGGCAGCGCUGGCUGGCUUGGGAGGUGACAGCCAGCAAGUACGUGCUGGAGGGCUAUAGCAUUAGUGACAAUAAUGCUGCCUCCAUGCUGCAGGUUUUCGACCUCCGCAAGAUCCUCAUCACCUACUAUGUCAAGAGCAUCAUCUACUACGUGAGCCGCUCACCAAAACUGGAGGUAUGGCUCAGCCAUGAGGGCAUCGCGGCAGCCCUGAGGCCUGUGCGGGCGCCCGGCUAUGCCGACUCGGAUCCCACCUUCUCGCUGAGUGUGGAUGAGGACUAUGACCUCCGCCUGUCUGGCCUCUCGCUGCCCUCCUUUUGCGCAGUGCACCUCGAGUGGAUCCAGUACUGCGCGUCCCGGCGCAGCCAGCCCGUGGACCAGGAUUGGAACUCCCCGCUGGUCACGCUGUGUUUUGGCCUGUGUGUGCUGGGCCGCCGGGCCCUGGGGACAGCAUCUCACAGCAUGUCUGCAAGCCUGGAGCCCUUCCUCUACGGCCUGCACGCCCUGUUCAAGGGAGAUUUUCGCAUCACCUCCCCACGUGACGAGUGGGUCUUUGCCGACAUGGAUCUGCUUCACCGCGUUGUGGCGCCUGGGGUUCGCAUGGCCCUCAAGCUUCACCAGGACCACUUCACGUCCCCAGAUGAAUAUGAGGAGCCAGCAGCCCUAUACGAUGCCAUUGCGGCCAACGAAGAGCGGCUGGUCAUCUCACAUGAGGGCGACCCGGCAUGGCGCAGCGCCAUCCUCAGCAACACGCCCUCCCUGCUGGCGCUGCGCCACGUCCUGGAUGAUGCUUCCGACGAGUACAAGAUCAUCAUGCUCAACCGGCGCCACCUCAGCUUCCGAGUCAUCAAGGUGAACCGGGAGUGCGUGCGUGGCCUAUGGGCUGGGCAGCAGCAGGAGCUGGUGUUCCUGCGCAACCGCAACCCCGAGCGUGGCAGCAUCCAGAAUGCCAAGCAGGCGCUUCGCAACAUGAUCAACUCCUCCUGUGACCAGCCGCUGGGCUACCCCAUCUACGUGUCGCCUCUUACCACCUCGCUGGCUGGCAGCCACCCCCAGCUACGGGCACUGUGGGGUGGCCCCAUCAGCCUGGGUGCCAUUGCCCGCUGGCUCCUGCGCAGCUGGGAGAGGCUUCACAAGGGCUGUGGCGCCGGCUGCAAUAGUGGCGGGAACGUGGAUGAUUCAGACUGUAGUGGGGGCGGUGGCCUGACCUCCCUCAGCAAUAACCCCCCCGUGGCACACCCCACGCCUGAGAACACGGCAGGCAAUGGUGACCAACCCCUCCCACCAGGCCCUGGCUGGGGGCCUCGAUCCUCCCUGAGUGGCUCUGGUGAUGGGCGGCCCCCACCUCUGCUGCAGUGGCCUCCCCCUCGGCUCCCUGGACCACCCCCUGCAUCGCCUAUCCCCACAGAGGGUCCCCGGACCUCACGGCCCCCUGGCCCUGGUCUCCUCAGUUCUGAGGGCCCCAGUGGGAAGUGGAGCCUGGGGGGCCGGAAGGGGCUGGGAGGAUCUGACGGGGAGCCAGCCUCAGGGAGCCCCAAAGGAGGUACCCCCAAAUCUCAGGUAAGGCACCUGUGGGAGGGUUGGGUCCCAGAAGGCUAAGGCCUGCUCACCCGCCAAUCUCUCUCCCCUCCCCCAGGCGCCUCUAGACCUCAGCCUCAGCCUCAGCCUCAGCCCCGAUGUCAGCACUGAGGCCUCACCCCCCAGAGCUUCCCAGGACAUUCCUUGCUUGGACAGCAGUGCCCCUGAGAGUGGCACACCUACAGGUGCCCUGGGCGACUGGCCUGCCCCUAUCGAGGAGCGUGAGAGCCCGGCAGCCCAGCCCCUGCUGGAACACCAGUACUGAGCUACCUGGCGCCCACUGGACCUCCUCCUAGGAUUCAGUAACAGACCUGCUCUGCUGCCUCUCUGCUGGACCACAGAACUGAGUGGCUUUGGCCUCCAUGUCUGAAUCCUGACCUUUGGCUGCCUUGGCCAGAGUACCAAAACUGAGUGACCCAGACCUCUGACCUUGACCCCUGCUCUCUCUCAUCCCCAGUCCAGGGCCUGGGCUCCCCAGAUGGAGGCAGUCAGCCUCCCAGCCAGGCCCUAAGAGCCAAACCAUGGGCUGGUCCCACUUGGAGCCUGUGGCCAGGACCACCUCAGCCCCUGGGCCUGCACUGCCUGCAGGGGU